rnacentral:rRNA from 1 species
GAUGAACGCUGGCGGCGUGCCUAACACAUGCAAGUCGAACGGGGUUAAGGGAAAUUUUCGGAUGGAACUUAACUUAGUGGCGGACGGGUGAGUAACGCGUGGAUAACCUGCCUCACACUGGGGGAUAGCAGCUGGAAACGGCUGGUAAUACCGCAUAAUGUCAUUUGGGGGCAUCCCUGGAUGACCAAAGAUUUAUUGCUGAAAGAUGGUCUCGCGUCUGAUUAGCUGGUUGGCGGGGUAACGGCCCACCAAGGCGACGAUCAGUAGCCGGUCUGAGAGGAUGAACGGCCACAUUGGGACUGAGAUACGGCCCAG